rnacentral:rRNA from 1 species
CCUACGGGAGGCAGCAGUGAGGAAUAUUGGUCAAUGGGCGAGAGCCUGAACCAGCCAAGUCGCGUGAAGGAUGAAGGACCUAUGGUUUGUAAACUUCUUUUAUAUGGGAAUAAAGUGUUGAACGUGUGCGUUUUUGUAUGUACCAUAUGAAUAAGCAUCGGCUAACUCCGUGCCAGCAGCCGCGGUAAUACGGAGGAUGCGAGCGUUAUCCGGAUUUAUUGGGUUUAAAGGGAGCGUAGGUGGUUUAUUAAGUCAGCUGUGAAAGUUUGCGGCUCAACCGUAAAAUUGCCGUUGAAACUGGCUGACUUGAGUACAGGAGAGGUGGGCGGAAUGCGUGGUGUAGCGGUGAAAUGCAUAGAUAUCACGAAGAACUCCGAUUGCGAAGGCAGCUCACUGGACUGUAACUGACACUGAGGUUCGAAAGCGUGGGUAUCAAACAGGAUUAGAUACCCUGGUAGUC